rnacentral:rRNA from 1 species
UGGGGAAUUUUGCGCAAUGGGCGAAAGCCUGACGCAGCAAUGCCGCGUGAGUGAUGAAGGUUUUAGGAUCGUAAAGCUCUGUCAGUGGGGAAGAAACUAUUGUCCGAUAAUAUCAGGCAGUACUGACGGUACCCACAAAGGAAGCACCGGCUAACUCCGUGCCAGCAGCCGCGGUAAUACGGAGGGUGCAAGCGUUGUUCGGAAUUAUUGGGCGUAAAGAGCAUGUAGGCGGUUGUCUAAGUCUGGUGUGAAAGCCCGGGGCUCAACCCCGGAAGUGCAUUGGAUACUGGGCAACUUGAGUACGGGAGAGGAAAGUGGAAUUCCGAGUGUAGGGGUGAAAUCCGUAGAUAUUCGGAGGAACACCAGUGGCGAAGGCGGCUUUCUGGACCGAUACUGACGCUGAGAUGCGAAAGCGUGGGGAGCAAACA